rnacentral:ncRNA from 1 species
GUAAAUAAAUGGCAAACCCGUUCGAAAGGCGGGGACGCAAAGCUAUGGGUCUACAGCCAUAAGGCCACGACUGCCAGGUUGCCGGU